rnacentral:rRNA from 1 species
AUUGAACGCUGGCGGCAGGCCUAACACAUGCAAGUCGAACGAGUGGCGGACGGGUGAGUAAUGUCUGGGAAACUGCCUGAUGGAGGGGGAUAAAUACUGGAAACGGUGGCUAAUACCGCAUACCAUCAGAUGUGCCCAGAUGGGAUUAGCUUGUUGGUGGGGUAAAGGCUCACAAAGUCGACGAUCGCUAGCUGGUCUGCGAGGAUGACCAGCCACACUGGAACUGAGACAAGGCCCAGACUCCUACGGUAGGCAGCAGUGGGGAAUAUUGCACAAUGGGCGCAAGCCUGAUGCAGCCAUGCCGCGUGUAUGAAGAAGGCCUUCGGGUUGUAAAGUACUUUCAGCGGUGAGGCGUUACCCGCAGAAGAAGCACCGGCUAACUCCGUGCUAGCAGCCGCGGUAAUAC